CUUUGUACUCGAUGUUACUAGUAUACAUGAAACAUGAUAUCAUGUUUCAUGUAUGCUAGUAACAUCGAGUACAAAG
rnacentral:miRNA from 1 species